AGGAGUUCAGAGAAGGAGUCAUGCUAUCAAGGACACCAUUACUGGAGGGAAAUGCAGUGGUCAAGCUGCCAUCCUCUCAAGCAACUGAACUCAUGAGAUCCAGUUCCCUCUGAAAGAAAAACAAAAGGCCUGCUAUCCUUUAACAUCUGUCACCAUCUAAAGAUGCUUCACUACCAAUGUUGAACUUCUGAAGUGUAGCCACUGUUGUAAUAUGUGAAACACAGUACCUUCCAAACCCACAACCUUUACCCACCAGAACGAUAAAGGCAGCAAAUGCACGGUGACACCGUUGUAUUAACCCCCUCGACCACCUGGAGGUUCCUCUCCAAGCCAUAACCAUUCUGACUUGGAACUGUACUGUGACCCCUUCAUUCAAAAUCUUGGGACUUUGUUUGCAACAGUAUUGUGGGUAUCCUGACAUCCCGAGGGUUGCACAGUUUAAGAAGUCAACUCACCAUGAGGCCAAGUUCUUGCAGUUCCUCAGUUCCCUAAGACUACAGUGCAUCCCGUAACCAGGAUUUUUCCACAGCACAGUUAGUCUGCUGACUGGGGAAGGGACCCCGCAGUUCUCAGCAGACAGGAACCUCUCCCACACUCUCUCCAGCUGCAGCAGAGGCGUCC